rnacentral:tRNA from 1 species
GGGGUUGUGGCUCAGUGGUAGAGCGCUUGCCUAGCAUGCAUGGGGCCCUGGGUUCAAUUCUCAGCAUCACAU